GCCCAGGUGGCGGAAUGGUAUACGCGCUACUUUGAGGUGGUAGUGGGAGCAAUCCCUUGGAGGUUCAAGUCCUCUCCUGGGCACCA
rnacentral:tRNA from 1 species